GACGAGCCACACGAACGUUAUUCGGAAUUACUGGGCUUAAAGGGUGCGUAGGCGGCGCGGAAAGUUGGGUGUGAAAUCCCUCGGCUCAACCGAGGAACUGCGCCCAAAACUACCGUGCUCGAGGAAGAUAGAGGUGAGCGGAACUCACGGUGGAGCGGUGAAAUGCGUUGAUAUCGUGAGGAACACCCGUGGCGAAAGCGGCUCACUGGGUCUUUUCUGACGCUGAUGCACGAAAGCUAGGGGAGCAAACGGG
rnacentral:rRNA from 1 species